UCUUCUGUUCNGUUACCUUGCCAUGCCUAG
rnacentral:piRNA from 1 species